GAAAUGCGAUAAGUAAUGUGAAUUGCAGAAUUCAGUGAAUCAUCGAAUCUUUGAACGCACCUUGCGCUCCUUGGUAUUCCGAGGAGCAUGCCUGUUUGAGUGUCAUGAAAUUCUCAACUGCUCCGAGCUUUGUUGUUCGGGGUGAAGUUGGACUUGGAGGUCUUUGCUGGCGUGGGCUUCGGCUCACUUGUCGGCUCCUCUUGAAUGCAUGAGCUUUCCAGUGGAUCUUGGCAAAGUAUCGUCGAUGUGAUAAUUAUCUACGUCGGUCGAGAAAGCCUCGAGCAGGGCUCUUAGGAGCUCCUACGGGAAAUCUUUCAUAUACAUCGGGCUUAAAACACCCGUGUCUGACAAAUUCGACCUCAAAUCAGGUAGGACUACCCGCUGAACUUAA
rnacentral:misc_RNA from 1 species